GAUGAACGCUGGCGGCGUGCCUAAUACAUGCAAGUCGAGCGAGUGGGGACGGGUGAGUAACACGUGGGUAACCUCCCAUCAGAGGGGAUAACACUUGGAAACAGGUGCUAAACCGAUCUGCAGGAUGGACCCGCGGUGCAUUAGCUAGUUGGUGAGGUAAAGGCUCACCAAGGCCACGAUGCAUAGCCGACCUGAGAGGGUGAUCGGCCACACUGGGACUGAGACAAGGCACAGACUCCUACGGGAGGCAGCAGUAGGGAAUCUUCGGCAAUGGACGAAAGUCUGACCGAGCAACGCCGCGUGAGUGAAGAAGGUUUUCGGAUCGUAAAACUCUGUUGUUAGAGAAGCGGUAUCUAACCAGAAAGCCACGGCUAACUACGUGCCAGCAGCCGCGGUAAUUC
rnacentral:rRNA from 1 species